rnacentral:rRNA from 1 species
AACGAACGCUGGCGGCAGGCCUAACACAUGCAAGUCGAACGAACCUUCGGGUUAGUGGCGCACGGGUGCGUAACACGUGGGAAUAUACAUUUCGGUAAGGAAUAACACAGAGAAAUUUGUGCUAAUACCUUAUAAUGACUCCGGUCCAAAGAUUUAUCGCCGAAGGAUUAGCCCGCGCUAGAUUAGUUUGUUGGUGAGGUAAGAGCUCACCAAGACUACGAUCUAUAGCUGGUCAUAGAGGAUGAUCAGCCACACUGGAACUGAGACACGGUCCAGACUCCUACGGGAGGCAGCAGUGAGGAAUAUUGGACAAUGGGGGCAACCCUGAUCCAGCCAUGCCGCGUGAAUGAAGAAGGCCUUAGGGUUGUAAAAUUCUUUCAGAUGCGAAGAUAAUGACGGUACCAUCAGAAGAAGCUCCGGCUAAAUUCGUG